UACGUAGGGUGCGAGCGUUGUCCGGAAUUUCUGGGCGUAAAGAGCUCGUAGGUGGUUUGUCGCGUUGUCCGUGAAAACUCACAACUCAAUUGUGGGCGUGCGGGCGAUACGGGCAGACUGGAGUACUGCAGGGGAGACUGGAAUUCCUGGUGUAGCGGUGGAAUGCGCAGAUAUCAGGAGGAACACCGGUGGCGAAGGCGGGUCUCUGGGCAGUAACUGACGCUGAGGAGCGAAAGCGUGGGGAGCGAACAGG
rnacentral:rRNA from 1 species